CUGUGUGUAGUGUUUAUGUAAAACUAGAAAACAGAGAAGGCAAUUACAGCAAAAAGGCCCACCAUGGCCUAUCUCCCCUUCUUCCUCACCUCCCCUGUUUCAACUUUGAACCCUUUCUCUCAACUCCAAAACCUCCCACGUUUAUUCACAUUACUAUCUAAAACCUGAGCAGCUGAAAUGCUAAUGCUUUGAAAAUGGCUUCCACAACUCAAUUCCUCAUCUCUCUCCCUCCUAAACCCCCUUAUUUACUAUCCUACUCCUCCCCUUCUAAACCCAGGUCUAUUAACAUCACCUGCUGCCUCUCCAUACAACAAGCAAGAAAUGAUCAAACCACUAGCAGCGGCAGCAACGCCCUGAACGGCCUCCGUGUGGCGUUUGCUGCUGGUGGUACUGGGGGACACAUCUACCCUGCUGUAGCUAUAGCGGAUGAGCUUAAACUCGUCAACCCAACCUCCGAAAUACUCUUCCUAGGCCGCCCCAACAGCAUGGAAAGCACAGCAAUUCCGUCAGCUCAUUUUGAGUUCAAAUCAAUACCGGCCUUCAAACUAGUCAGGCCUUUCUUCUCUCUCCGUAAUCUCCUCCUCCCGUACUUUCUGAUCAAAUCCAUCACCAAAUGCUUUACCCUUUUGUCAAAAUUUGAACCCCAUCUAGUGGUUGGAACUGGUGGGUAUGUUUCUUUUCCUGUCUGUUUAGCUGCUCUGCUGAAAGGGAUCAAGGUUGUGAUCCAAGAGCAGAACUCCGUUCCCGGUAUUGCUAAUAGGUUUCUCUCUUUGUUUGCUGAUUUGGUGUUUGUUGCAUUCAAUUCAACGGUUCAAAGUUUCCCAAGAAAAGAAAAAUGUGUUGUUUGUGGGAAUCCCGUGCGAUUGUCUUUGAAAAAUUCGGUUUCAAAGGCAGUGUCGAGGUUGCAUUUUUUUCCAUGGUUAGAAAAAAUGGAGGGUUCUUCAGAGGAGAUCAAAGUGAUUUUGGUUCUUGGAGGUUCUUUAGGAGCUAAUGCUGUUAACAUUGCCUUGUUGAAUGUGUACUCUCAGUUGCUGUUGGAACAUGAGAAUUGGUUUAUUAUAUGGCAAACAGGGGUGGAGUCGUUUAAUGAAAUGGAGAGCUUGGUUAGGAGCCACCCUCGGCUGCUUUUGGCACCGUUUUUGCAUUCAAUGAAUAUGGCAUAUGCAGCAGCUGACCUUGUUGUUUCUCGAGCUGGUGCAAUGACUUGUUCUGAGAUCUUGGCUACUGGGAAACCUUCUAUAUUGUGUGUAGUGGGCUAUUCUCGUCAGUACAAAACGCAAAUAGUCAUUGGCUUCAUUGUAUCCUCGAGGUUAAUUUGCUUGGAACUCAUUUGCACACCGAAAAUAGGUGAGGGCGAAUAUAACCUUAAAGAUAGUGACUUGAUACACGCCUUGGAGCCUUGUCCUAUUUUUUUUCUGUUUGAGUUUCGUUCGUGUGUUCGAGAUUUUGUUCACCAGAGAUUUGUACUAACAAUUUUAAGGUUAUAUCUCAUGAUGACUACCACAACACAUGAAAAUGGAACACUAAAGGAGUUGGCUUCCAAUUUUGUCAAACUUGAUCGGUUUGAUGGUGGCAAUUUUUGACGAUGGCAGAAAAAGAUGCACAUCUUAUUAUCAACUUUAAAAAUUGCUUAUGUUUUGGAUACUCCAAGACCUGAAGAGAAUGAAAACGAAUUUGUUGCUGCAACCGAGAAAGACAAAUGAGAUAAUGUUGACUACAUGUGCAUGGGCCACAUAUUGAAUGGUUUAUCUGAUGGUUUGUUCGACACCUACAAAAACAAGGUCACCACUAAAGAAUUAUGGGACAAAUUGGAGACAAGAUACGUGACCGAAGAUGUUACAAGUACCAUCACCAAAUGUUGCAGAAGGGCAUCAACACAAAAAUGCUUUUCUAAUGGCAGAUGUAGCGGGUUCAAGGGUUAUAACUGAGGAUGAACUUGAUUCAACCACCCUUGGGUUAGCUAUAUGCGAAAUAUUAGG